UGCUUAGAAUAAAAUGCUUUUGCAUGGUUAGUGGAGGUGGAGCCGAAGGGGAUCCACUACGACAAAACCAACAACAAGGCGCAAGUAGAGACCGAGGGUCCAAUACUGAUAAAAACAAACUAUCAAAAUAAUUAUACGGUUGAAUGGCAUCAACUGGUUGAUUAGGAGAAUUUGUCUGAAAGAAAAAAUGAGGAUCAUCAUUAGCAAUUUAGCACGUUGACGCUGCAGGUUAUUGAUUAUUCUCCUACCUUUGACUUUAAAACUAGACACAAUUAUUGUUAACUGGGGUGGCGGAUAAUUUUUAAUUCGUUCUGUAUAUUUUCGCUUCUAAAAUUGAAUUAGAAUGUAAUACUAACUUUUGCGGUAUAGGAAGAUUGAUUUGCGAUAAUAGAUUUUUUACAUACAUUAUAAAUAAAAUAUACAUUUUGUAAUUAUAUGACUAACUAAGAGGCUGAAGUAUAUUCUAACACAUGUUGGAAAACUAUAAUUUGAGUCUAGAUUUAUACCAUAUUGCUAUUCAUUACUUCACUAUUUUUAAGGUGGAUCAUACAAUCUAUAAAAUUAACUGUUUUUAAAUAUUUACGUUUUGAAAUAUGCCAAUUUUGUGAGGCAUUAAGUGUUAAACUUUACUUGCUUUUAAACUUUUAAAACUUUUUAAAAUAAGAGUGAAAAUAAAUCGAGAUUUUAAUCUCCCCAGAGUAGUUAGAGUAACAUCAAAAGUUUUUAAAACUUAUAGAAAUCUCUUUUUAGAUAUUGUAAUUUUGCGUUACUUAUGGUGAUUGAAUAUGCAUUUUAAUAUUGUUGUUAAUUUACUAGUUGCGAUUUGUGUUCUAAAAUCUCCGAUGUAGAGUUUAUGCCAUAGGAAUAAAGUGUUAAACUUUACUUGCUUUUAAACUUUUAAAACUUUUAAAAAUAAGAGUGAAAAUAAAUCGAGAUUUUAAUCUCCCCAGAGUAGUUAGAGUAACAUCAAAAGUUUUUAAAACUUAUAGAAAUCUCUUUUUAGAUAUUGUAAUUUUGCGUUACUUAUGGUGAUUGAAUAUGCAUUUUAAUAUUGUUGUUAAUUUACUAGUUGCGGUUUGUGUUCUAAAAUCUGCGAUGUAGAGUUUAUGCCAUCGGAAUAAUGAAUGUGACAGGAAAUGUUUAAUAAUAUUUAAAAAUGGCCAUAAUGCAUUUUGAAAUAUCCAUAUUUAAAUAUAAAAAAAGCAAACUAUGGAUUAAAAAUAUUCAACACUGACCAUGUGACAAAAUUACUCUUUCCGAUGUAAAUUUUUGGUUUUAAUUUAAUAUAAUGUUAAAGGUAUUUUCUGUAUUACAUUUAGAGCAGCAUUUAUACUUAUAGUAUAACAUUAUGAUUGAAUAAAUGAGGGUAGAUAUACACA